GAAGCAGGACGCAAUUACUGUGCUUCGUCUUGUGGAAGUGCUGUCGUUAUCCUGCUGAGAGCAACAUCUACUACAGAGCCCCUUCUGCUCGUCUUGUGGGAUGAGAAAUGCUCUUUAGUAGUAACAGCU
ensembl:snoRNA